rnacentral:rRNA from 1 species
AAUGAACGCUGGCGGCAGGCCUAACACAUGCAAGUCGAGCGGAGCUGCGGACGGGCGAGUAAUGCCUAGGAAUCUGCCCGGCCGUGGGGGAUAACGUCCGGAAACGGGCGCUAAUACCGCAUACUAUUAGAUGAGCCUAGGUCGGAUUAGCUAGUUGGUGGGGUAAAGGCCUACCAAGGCGACGAACCGUAGCUGGUCUGAGAGGCUGAUCAGUCACACUGGAACUGAGACACGGUCCAGACUCCUACGGGAGGCAGCAGUGGGGAAUAUUGGACAAUGGGCGAAAGCCUGAUCCAGCCAUGCCGCGUGUGUGAAGAAGGUCUUCGGAUUGUAAAGCACUUUGAGUUGGGAGGCGUUACCAACAGAAUAAGCACCGGCUAACUUCGUGCCAGCCGCCGCGGUAAUUC